rnacentral:rRNA from 1 species
GGCGGCGGCUAUACAUGCAAGUCGAGGGGUAACAGGAAGUGCUUGCACUUCGCUGACGACCGGCGCACGGGUGAGUAUCGCGUAUACAAUCUGCCUCAUACUAGGGAAUAGCCCGAAGAAAUUUGGAUUAAUACCCUAUAGUAUCUUUUUAAGGCAUCUUAUUAAGAUUAAAGGUUACGGUAUGAGAUGAGUAUGCGUUCUAUUAGCUAGUAGGUGUGGUAACGGCACACCUAGGCUACGAUAGAUAGGGGCCCUGAGAGGGGGAUCCCCCACACUGGUACUGAGACACGGACCAGACUCCUACGGGAGGCAGCAGUAAGGAAUAUUGGUCAAUGGACGAAAGUCUGAACCAGCCAUGCCGCGUGCAGGAUGACUGCCCUAUGGGUUGUAAACUGCUUUUAUAUAGGAAGAAAAUCUUUCUCGUGAGAAAGCUUGACGGUACUAUAAGAAUAAGGAUCGGCUAGCUCCGUGCCAGCAGCCGCGGUAAUACGGAGGAUCCAAGCGUUAUCCGGAAUCAUUGGGUUUAAAGGGUCCGUAGGUGGACAAAUAAGUCAGAGGUGAAAUCCUGCAGCUCAACUGUAGAACUGCCUUUGAUACUGUUUGUCUUGAGUUAUUAUGAAGUGGUUAGAAUGUGUAGUGUAGCGGUGAAAUGCAUAGAUAUUACACAGAAUACCGAUUGCGAAGGCAGAUCACUAAUAAUCAACUGACACUGAUGGACGAAAGCGUGGGUAGCGAACAGGAUUAGAUACCCUGGUAGUCCACGCCGUAAACGAUGGUCACUAGCUGUUUGGACUUC